AUGUCUCUUCUGGCUGUCUCAGUGCGUUCUUCACCCUCACACAGAGAUUGACACGUUUCCCAUAUCCUACUAUUUAUCUUAUAUUGAGGUUUUUAUUAUAAAAUGAGUACAUUUAUAACAUAGAAAAUAUAUUUUAAGAAAUGUAAUAACCAUUAUUAAGCCUUUCUGGUACAUAUUCUUUCUGUUUUUCUUAAUGCCAUCUUUAUACUUUUUAUCAUACAGAUGUUAGACUAUAUGAGAAUUGUCCCUGUGUUUAAAAAUAGACAACAGGAUUUAGAUAUUCAUUCAUUCAUUCAAUGAUCAAUAAGUUAAUAUUUAAGCAUUUGUUCGUUCGUAAACUGCCAGGCCAUGUUAGGUGGCAGAGAUUGAGAAUGGGAAGGUUUUUGCCCUCAGGGAGUUCAAGGUCUGGCAGGGAAGAGGGAUGGGUCAAUAAGUAAAUACUGUAUAAUGGAAUAUGGUUGCUACUGUAGAGGUAGGUUCAGGGAACAUUAGAAACAGGAAAGCGGGCACAAACCCCAGACAAGAUCUAGCAAUGAACUUUUAUUAAACCAAUAUGUACAGAUGGUUUAAUACAGAGAUCAUUCAUAAACCAAUGUGUUUUACUACUGUGUUUUAUCAGUACAUCCUGUGUGUUUUCUAUAGCCCACUAGUUCCAUAAAAUAUUGAUAAUUUUUCUCCAAAAAAAUAUUCUGUGGUGAAAAAAUUUGGAGAGGGUAGAAAAUUAAGGUAAUUUUUCUGAGGUACAACAAAAUAUCUAGGAAAUUAAGAUAAUUUUUCUGAGGUACAACAAAAUAUCUAGCCGGUCCAAUCCUUUGGACUUUAAGACAGCUAAUCUUGACCAACACUGAAGACAGCCAACUUGGUGCUAUAGAAGGGCCCCUAUCCUUUUCAACUAUACCCCAAGCCAUCAAUAAGCUGCUACUUCCAACAAUAUAUGAAGUCAUGGAACACAUAUGUGUAUGUAGACAGCAACAAGACUUCUGCAGAUCACUUCUGUGCCAGUAUCCCAUUGUCAUCUGGUCCCAGUGUUUACUUGUCAAGAGGUGUGAAAGCUGUAGGCAUUCAUAGAAACCAUACUUUGAAUUUUGAAUUUUGAUCUUUUCUAGAGCUAGCAAGGACUCUUUUACAAUGCUGGGCAGCAGCAGUGAGCCACAGCACCCAUCAGCCAUGCCAUCAGGAGGGUGAGCAAAUGCUACUCUACCAGUGAGUUGCCAGAUAAUUUUUGCCCAUCUGUAGGCUAAUAUAACUGUUCUGUGCACACUUAAGGUAGGGUAGGCUAAGCUUUGAUGUUUGGUAGGUAAGAUGUAUUAAAUGCAUUUUUUAUUUGAGGUAUUUUCAGCUUAUUAUAUAUUUGUAGGGACACAAGCCCAUUGUAAAUUGAGAUCUGUAGUGUGAUGGAACCUCAAUGCAAGAUUUCCCGCCAACUCAAGGCUCAUGACUGGGAGUCAGCAGCUUCUUUCCUGGUGUGAUCUGGAUUUGAGGUCCACAAUUCGCAGUCACAGGUGUAUGAUGUCGCAAGCUCUCUGCAGCACUCACCACAGUAGUGUUCAUUAUUGUGAAGCACCGUCCCCUCCCUUGGCAGUAUAGGGAGAGGCCAGGCUCCAGGCCAGUAGUUGACCAGAAAUGAUUGAUUGCUCUAAGCACUUAGAGCCUAGUCUGUUUCCAUGAAGCUCUGCAGGAAGCCAACUUCUUUUCAGGGAGGCCAGCCAGCAGGGGGUUAAUUUUGUACAAGUUAACCCUUACCACUUAUUCAAGUUUCUGCCACAGUGAGAGCAGAGGUACCAGAGAUUAAGGGUACCAGAGACUAAAAUGUUUAAAAUGUUUCAUCUCAUUUCCCCACUACUUAACAAUAUACACGUGAUUAUUAGCUCUUAGGCCACACAAAAACAGGCAGGGGGCUAGAUUUUGUCUGCAGAUGCAACUUGUUGAACCUUGUUCCAGGCUGAUAACAUAAAGUUGGCCCACUUGGUCAAAAGCAUGACAGAAAAGCAAUAUGCACUCUUUUAUUUAGGAUACAUAAGAUAAGUGGCCUGACUUGUGAAUGAGAAUUGUAUUCAUGGAGUGAUAUCUGUCUAUAAUAAAAAUAUUUUUAUGAACCCACUUGAGAAUCACAUUUCAAAAUGCAUGAUAGUGUAGUGGUUUUUUAAAACUCCAUUUUAUUACUUUAUCUCUUUUCUUUAGUAUUCAAAGAUAUUUUAAUAGUAGCACAAAUAUUAAUAAUGAAAAUGAUCACUAUUUGUUGACACAGGGCUUCAUUUGGCACUGGGCUAAAUGCUGUACAAAAUUAUCUCAUUAAUCCUACAAUAAUCCUGCAAGUUACAUAGUCCUUUACCUCCUUUAUAGAUGAGGCUAAGUAACAUGCCUGAGGCAACAUGACUAGUACAUAACUGAGCCAGGAGUAAAUCAGGUGAUUCUGACUUCAAGGUAUAUCAUUGAAACCACUUUAAAUACUAUUGUUAAUUUCUUGUUAUGGUUGAUUCUAAAUUUCCAAUGUUAAUCAAGUAAUAAUAAAAUCUACAAUUUUAUUACUAAUAAAUAACAAAAUCUAUAAUUCAUAUUAACAGCAAAUAAUGGAAGAAAAACAUACUUUAUUCUAACUCAUUAAAUUAGAUCAAAUAUAACAUUUGAUUUGUCUCAAAUACUGGAGUUACAUGAGCAAAUGGCCCAGCCUUAAUCUUAAGGCUUACUUAGCUUUGGGAAAAACAUAAAUUAUGAUGUAAAACUAGAUACUGCUUUAUAAUAUACUCUUUUUUAACCACCCAGUGACAGAGAAGGUAGAAAAAAAAUCAAACUGACCUGUUGAUAGCAUAUGUGAUUAAGUUCUUUGUUCAGGUUUAUUGACAGAUGGCGGAAAAUAGAAGAAAGGAUAUAGAUGCCAGGGAGAUGGAGGGUGGUGUAAUCAAAUACAAAACCAUCUGGAUCCUGUCCCUGUGUGACCUAGUGUUUGUGUUUAAGUUAAACUUUUUGUAUCCUCAUCUGACAGAUCACAGACCAAAUUUCUAAACUGAAGCAUUCUUUUGGCAAACACAGAGGAGCAAAGCAUUGUUUGAGGAAAUUAAGACAAACAGAAGCUCAAUGGCCUCUCAUGUAUAAUCACCUGAAAAUUAUUUACUGAACAUCCUGCACACCCAGUGAUUCUUCUCAGGACUUCUGUGUAGUACUUUGCACUUCUAUCCCUUUUCUUUUACAAGGAAAGAGCGAACAGUGGUGGGCAGGAAACCAAGAGUUGUGCCUGUUCUGCCCCAAGGUCACUGCUGGCCACUGAGCUGUAGAAGGUUGCAGAUAGCUACCCAAAAGUUUGAUGGAAAGAGCCUCCAUUAUUACGAUAAAUGCAGGCCCACCUAAGUAUUAGCUUUGAGGGAAGACAUCGUAGGUAGGAGAAGGCAGUCGUCCAACACCUCCAGCUUCAUCCCUGCUGAGUUUUUCCUCACUCUAGUUUUUUACACUUUGAUUUUGAGUACCAUCACUUCCUGGAUGGUGUCUCUAUGACUUGGGCACUGGAGAAGGGGUACCUUUUGUUCUCCAACUGCAAUAGUCUGAAGUGUCCAAAAACACUUAGUAUGAAAGAACAACAAUAACACCACUGGAAGGACACUCUCUAGUUAAGCUAACAAAAUAGUGGCUUCUCACCAUCCCAAAUCUGAUUCUUAGGAUAAACACUAACUCCAAAAGGAAAUAUAACCUCAUUAGCAUACUAUAUGCAUACCUUUUCCCUGUCUAUUUUUAUUCAUUCUUUUUGAGACAGAGUCUUGCUCUGUCACCCAGGCUGGGAUGCAGUGGUGCAAUCUCGGCUCACGGCAACCUCCACCUCCCGGGUUCAAGCAAUUGUCCUGCCUCAGCCUCCCAAGUAGCUGGGAUUACAGGCAUGCACCACCAUGCCUGGCUAAUUUUUAUAUUUUUAGUAGAGACAGGUUUCACCAUGUUGGCCAGGCUGGUCUCGAACUCCUGACCUCAGGUGAUCCACCUGCCUUGCCCUCCCAAAGUGCUGGGAUUACAGGCAUGAGCCACUGUGCCUGACCUCCUUUUUAUAUGAAAGACAUGACUUUCCACUGAACACUGGUGACUGAAACAAUAAAUAGGGUCACCCUUCAAGUAAGCCCCUGUUAUGUAGCUACAGGAAGUAUCAUAAUCUCUUACUACCCAACAAUACUGCAGUAUGCUAACCAUAAUCCUACCUUGCCCAGGCUGGACCUUCACCCAGGCUGCUCUCUUUGCCUGAAAUGCUGUAGCACCACCCCACUCCCUCCUUACUGACUCCAUGCACAUAUCCACAUGACUAGUGCUCAAUAAUAGCUCUCCAAUCCUGUGCAUCCCAGCUCUUUACAUUUAGGUGGGGCCAUGAACACAUACAGGUUGAUGAUCUGUUAACAGCAGAGGAAAGCACUGCACAUUCUUCCCUUUACAUUCAUUAACAAUGAAAGAAAAACAAGUAAAGGACUCAAGAACUUUCCAUUAAUUUCCUACAAGCUACAUUUCUGCCAAUUUUAUUGAGAGAUAUCACGGAACGGUAAAGAUGACAAAUUUUGCUGUACAAUGCUCUAUUCCAACCUCUUCAAUUUUCCCAUGACUGUUUUACAUUUCCCAUAUCUUUUUCUCUCAUUUUACAUCACAAAUUUAUACAGAGGAUCUAUGGGCUAGUAUAUACCAUGCCUAGCAUGUGAACAGCAUUAUUGUUAAGAAGGAAAUUAGAGAGUCACCACACCUUCCAUUAGGAAUCUAACAGUUAUGCUUCUUUUCCUUUACAGAGUUUCCUUUUACCAUAUUAAGUCCUCCAGUCUUCCUUUCAUGUUACUUUAAGACACUGAUCAAAAUCUUUUGUUCC
rnacentral:lncRNA from 10 species